rnacentral:rRNA from 1 species
UACGAAGGGGGCUAGCGUUGUUCGGAAUUACUGGGCGUAAAGGGCGCGUAGGCGGAUAUUUAAGUUGGGGGGUGAAAUCCCGGGGCUCAACCUCGGAAUUGCCUUCAAAACUGGAUAUCUUGAGUUCGGGAGAGGUGAGUGGAACUCCGAGUGUAGAGGUGAAAUUCGUAGAUAUUCGCAAGAACACCAGUGGCGAAGGCGGCUCACUGGCCCGAUACCUGACGCUGAGGCACGAAAGCGUGGGGAGCAAACAGGG